GCGGAAGUGGCGGAAUUGGUAGACGCGCUGGAUUUAGGUUCCAGUAUCGUAAGAUGUGAGAGUUCAAGUCUCUCUUUCCGCACCA
rnacentral:tRNA from 1 species